UGGUUUUGUUGAGGGUUUUGAGAUCUAGGGUUGAGUCUGAGGUGUCAGGCAAGUAACGGUCGAGACGAAGAAGGCGAUGAUCCUUCUUCUCAAACAUGGCGCGCACAAACGAUGCCUCCAUGCUGUUCAAGAACUGCACGUGCUUCUCGUCCGUCCACGACCUCUUUUUACCGCUCUGCACGUGCGACUGCAUCCUGAUUUCUUAGUUUCAAUAUCUACUCGCCGGACGGAGUUUGGAGUUUGGAGUUUGGAGCUUGGGAGAACAACCAGG
rnacentral:lncRNA from 1 species